rnacentral:rRNA from 1 species
CCUACGGGCGGCUGCAGUGGGGAAUAUUGGACAAUGGGCGCAAGCCUGAUCCAGCAAUGCCGCGUGGGUGAAGACGGCCUGCGGGUUGUAAAGCCCUUUAGGUGGGGAAGAAGGAGGCUGGGUGAAUAGCCGGGUCUUUUGACAUUACCCACGGAAUAAGCACCGGCUAACUCCGUGCCAGCAGCCGCGGUAAUACGGAGGGUGCGAGCGUUAAUCGGAAUGACUGGGCGUAAAGCGUGCGUAGGCGGUAACGUCAGUCAGUCGUGAAAGCCCUGGGCUUAACCUGGGAAUGGCGAUUGAGACGGCGUAACUCGAGUGGGCUAGAGGACUGUGGAACUCCCGGUGUAGCGGUGAAAUGCGUAGAGAUCGGGAAGAACACCGAUGGCGAAGGCAGCGGUCUGGGGCCACACUGACGCUGAGGCACGAAAGCGUGGGGAGCAAACAGGAUUAGAUACCCCAGUAGUC